UGGGGCGUAGCCAAGCGGUAAGGCAGCGGAUUUUGAUUCCGCCAUGCGGAGGUUCGAUCCCUCCCGCCCCAACCA
rnacentral:tRNA from 2 species